AUGUGCAGAUUUGUUGUUCAGAACAAAUGGGGUUACCAUAAGUAUGGAAAAUGGUUCCUGGUCUACAGCGAAUUGGAGAGACUAGAGAGGCAAGCCAGUGCUCUUAAAUAGCAGUGACCCAUCUAAGUUCAUUUUUCAUCACCCUUCUGGGUAUUGUGAUAGGCAGAAUGCUGGCCCUGCCCCAAAGAUGCCAGUGUCCUAAUCUCUAGAACCUCUGAAUAUGCUACCUCACAUGGCAAAAGGGACUCUGCCAAUAUGAUGAAGGUAAGGAUCUUAAAAUGAGGAAAAAAUUCUGGAUUAUCCUAGUGGACCUAAUAUUUUAUAAGUGUACUUGUAAAUGAAAGAGAGGGGCAGGAGUUGUGAUUAUGUGAUUGCUGGCUUUGAAGAUGAAAGAGGACCAUAAGCCAAGGAUCAAGGUCAGUCCCUAGAAACUGGAAAAGCCAAGAAAACAGACUCUCUGAUAGACCCUCCAAAAGGAACAGGAAGGAAGCCCUGCCCAGUCUUAAUUGUAGCCCAGUGAGACCCAUUUUAGACUUCUGAUUUCCAGAACUGUAAGAUAGUAAAUGUAUAUUGCUUUAAAUUACUACAUUUGUGGCAAUUUGUCACAUCAGUAGUAGGAAAUGAAUACAGCUAUAAAGUGGAAGAAACCAUAGAAAGUUCACUGAGCCUUUUGAGAUUAAUCUUUAACUCAUAUUCUAAAAUCAUAUAGCUCCCUGAGUGUCAAACUGAUAACUACAUAAUCACACUUUCACUGUUCUCAGGUUUACUACAAGCAGAAUUACCCCAUACUGGUGUUCAGGCAGAUGAAUUCUCACUAUGAAAUACUUUUUAAUUGGCGUUCUUAUGAUUGCCUCCAAAAUGUUUAAACCUUUUGACAGUUGCAUCCAUUUUAUGAAUCCAUCUUCAGUAAUAAAGAUUGAAAUGCUCUAAACCACCAAAAAUUAGUGGCUUAAUCAGAAACUGAGGGUGGUUCUAUAAAUCCAAAGCUGCUGGUCAUUAGA
rnacentral:lncRNA from 1 species